rnacentral:rRNA from 1 species
GACGAACGCUGGCGUCGUGCUUAACACAUGCAAGUCGAACGGAAAGGCCCUGCUUUUGUGGGGUGCUCGAGUGGCGAACGGGUGAGUAACACGUGAGUAACCUGCCCUUGACUUUGGGAUAACUUCAGGAAACUGGGGCUAAUACCGGAUAGGAGCUCCUGCUGCAUGGUGGGGGUUGGAAAGUUUCGGCGGCUGGGGAUGGACUCGCGGCUUAUCAGCUUGUUGGUGGGGUAGUGGCUUACCAAGGCUUUGACGGGUAGCCGGCCUGAGAGGGUGACCGGCCACAUUGGGACUGAGAUACGGCCCAGACUCCUACGGGAGGCAGCAGUGGGGAAUAUUGCACAAUGGGCGGAAGCCUGAUGCAGCAACGCCGCGUGCGGGAUGACGGCCUUCGGGUUGUAAACCGCUUUCGCCUGUGACGAAGCGUGAGUGACGGUAAUGGGUAAAGAAGCACCGGCUAACUACGUGCCAGCAGCCGCGGUGAUACGUAGGGUGCGAGCGUUGUCCGGAUUUAUUGGGCGUAAAGGGCUCGUAGGUGGUUGAUCGCGUCGGAAGUGUAAUCUUGGGGCUUAACCCUGAGCGUGCUUUCGAUACGGGUUGACUUGAGGAAGGUAGGGGAGAAUGGAAUUCCUGGUGGAGCGGUGGAAUGCGCAGAUAUCAGGAGGAACACCAGUGGCGAAGGCGGUUCUCUGGGCCUUUCCUGACGCUGAGGAGCGAAAGCGUGGGGAGCGAACAGGCUUAGAUACCCUGGUAGUCCACGCUGUAAACGGUGGGUACUAGGUGUGGGGUCCAUUCCACGGGUUCCGUGCCGUAGCUAACGCUUUAAGUACCCCGCCUGGGGAGUACGGCCGCAAGGCUAAAACUCAAAGGAAUUGACGGGGCCCCGCACAAGCGGCGGAGCAUGCGGAUUAAUUCGAUGCAACGCGUAGAACCUUACCUGGGUUUGACAUGGAUCGGGAGUGCUCAGAGAUGGGUGUGCCUCUUUUGGGGUCGGUUCACAGGUGGUGCAUGGCUGUCGUCAGCUCGUGUCGUGAGAUGUUGGGUUAAGUCCCGCAACGAGCGCAACCCUUGUUCACUGUUGCCAGCACGUUAUGGUGGGGACUCAGUGGAGACCGCCGGGGUCAACUCGGAGGAAGGUGGGGAUGACGUCAAGUCAUCAUGCCCCUUAUGUCCAGGGCUUCACGCAUGCUACAAUGGCUGGUACAGAGAGUGGCGAGCCUGUGAGGGUGAGCGAAUCUCGGAAAGCCGGUCUCAGUUCGGAUUGGGGUCUGCAACUCGACCUCAUGAAGUCGGAGUCGCUAGUAAUCGCAGAUCAGCAACGCUGCGGUGAAUACGUUCCCGGG